ACUGGUAUAACAAAGUUUAUUAAGAAAAUGUUCUGCUUUUUCUGCCCACUCCCGCCUCCCCUCGAGGGCCCGUGCAGCUGCACCACACUCAUUCUGGUCUCCUUAAGCUAGCACCGCCAUCGUCUCUCCUCAGCCACCAUCAUGAUUAACUACCGGGACCUCAUCAGCCAUGAUGAGAUGUUCUCCGACAUUUACAAGAUCUGGGAGAUUGCAGACGGGCUGUGCCUGGAGGUGGAGGGGAAGAUGGUCAGUAGGACAAAGGGUAACAUUGAUGACUCGCUCAUUGGUGGAAACACCUCAGCUGAAGGCUCCAAUGGUGAAGAAACUGAAAGCACAGUAAUCACUGGUGUUGAUACUGUCAUCAACUAUCACUUGCAGGAAAUCAGCUUCACAAAAGAAGCCUACAAGUAGUACAUCAAAGAUUACAUGAAAUCUAUCAAAGGGAAACUUGAGGAACAGAGACCUGGAAGAGUAAAACCUUUUAUGACAGGGGCUGCAGAACAAAUCAAGCACAUCCUUGCUAAUUUCAAAAACUACCAGUUCUUUAUCGGUGAAAACAUGAAUCCAGAUGGCAUGGUUGCUCUGCUGGACUACCGUGAGGAUGGUGUGACCCCAUAUAUGAUUUUCUUUAAGGAUGGUUUAGAAAUGGAGAAAUGUUAACAGAUUUGGUAAUUAUUUGGAUCUAUCAUCUGUCAUCCUAACUGGCUGCUGCUCUUCAUCCACACAACACCAGGACUUAGACAAACGGGACUGAUGUCAUCUUGAGCUCUUCAUUUAUUUUGACCUUGAUUUAUUUGGAGCAGAGGCAUUUUUUUUCCUAAAAGAAAAAAAAA